rnacentral:misc_RNA from 1 species
UUUUUAUUUUAUACUUUUAACCUUGAAUUUAUUUUUUAAAUGUUUAUAUUAUUUGAAUAAAACAUUCAAAUAAUAUAAAAAAUAAUAUAUAUAUUGACAUGGAAUAAACAAAGAUAUAUAUUAUUCUAUGUUGUAUAUACAAAUUGGCAAAAUAGAGAUGGAAGAUAAAAAUAU